GAGAAAUUAAGGUUUCAGGUGGAAUGAAGUUUGCUAAUCAGCUGACCUUAAACGAAGGAGAUUAUGCUGGAUUAGCCAGGUGGGCUUAAUAUAGAUGCCAGGCUCCUGAGAAGGGGAAGAAGAAGGCAGAAGAGAGUCAGAGAGAUGGCAAUGGGAAGAAAUGCCCUGCUGUUGGAUGGCUUUGAGGUUGGAGGAAGGGCCCAGGAAGCAAGGCAGGUGGGCAGCUUCUAGAAGCCAGAAAGGACAAGGAAGUGGAUCCUUCUCAAGAGCCUCCAGAAAGGCAGGCUGCUCUGUCGACACCUUGACUUCAGCCCCGUGAGACCCAUCUCAGACUUCUGAACGACAGCACUGUGAGGACCAUUUGAGCGGCUGUGUUGAGAGGAGACUCAAGAAAGGUGGAGCUUAAUGAGUCUUCUCCUGACUAAGCCUGACUAAUUUGUGAGAAUUUUGAAUAAACCUGACUCUUUCAAUGGCAAUUCUGAGGACCCAGUUGGAUAGAACACGUCUUCAGGCUUAGAUUGGAAACUGGGUGUGUCUAAUAUUCUACAAAUACACUUGUAAUAAAUUAAUGGUGGCUUCCGUGAAGCGGUUCCUCACGGUCUACUCCACAAAGCUACAGAGAACAGAGUUGCAGUUAAUGCAAACUGUGAAGGAGUCCAUCCAAAAAGGCCUCCCAUCCAUCUGGAGCUAAUGAUGUUUCCAGCACUCAGCGAGGCUCCUGGGAACCAAACAACCCUGUUGUCAGCCCACCUGGUCUAGCAUUUCCAGGAGCAGCUGGCUUGUUCCAGAGAGGUCUAAGUCCUCCAAUCCAUCAGAGACGCCCCGGUCUGGUUCUGUGGAAAUUUCUAGGCUAGUUAUUUCCUCCAUGACUCAUCCAUGUGUUUCAUCCAAACUUAAAAAUGCUCCUCCUGUCACCCUCCUCUCCAAAGUCCCAACCCCUGUGGCUCUGUGCUUUCUUCUCCCUGAACAGAUGUAAUUUCCACCGUAUUUCUUAGAACCUAUACUUAAUUGCACACAACAUCACAUACGCCCUUAGCCUAGUCACAGAUCCUUCAACCAUUUUCUGGCUCUCACUGAAACCUUCUCUCUCAAGUGGACACUCUCAUUUGGGUUGGAGUCCUUGCUCCCAAUGUAACUUGUAGAUCUUUACUCCUCCGCAGUUCUCCUCGCUCAUUCCCCUCUUUCCGGGAGCCCCUGGGCUCACUGUCAAUCUUUUCAUCUCAGGUGUAUAAAUCCACCCUUCAUCUUAGGCUCUUAACUCCUUUUCCUCCUCAACAGACCAGGAACCUGGUAUCACCUACCAUCCAAAUAUACCCCAAAGCUCACCACUUCUUUCUGCCUCCACUGCCUCCACCUAGGCUGCAUUCCAGGCCACCACAGUCUUUUACCUGUGCUGCUAUAACCUUGUAAAUCAGCUUUCUGAUUCUCCUUUUGCCCCCAUAGUCAGUUUUCCAUUCAGCUGCCAGAGGAAUUUCCCUAAAAUGUAUCAUGUCAUGUCAUGCCUCUGCUCAGAACCCUUUAGGGGCUUUCCAUCCCACUGAGACUGAAAUCCAAAGCCCUCUGGGGUCAACCCCUGCCCAUCUCUCUGCCUCAACUCCUAUCACAUCCCUCUUGUUCAGGCCGCCCCCGCCA
ensembl:lncRNA